GACAACGGCCAUACCACCCUGGCAACCGCACGAUCUCGUCUGAUCUCGGAAGCUAAGCAGGUCGGGCCCGGUUCGUACUGCGAUGGGAGACCUCCUGGGAAUACGCGGUGCUGUGGCUU
rnacentral:rRNA from 1 species